ACACUUUCCUAUCAGGAGAGAUACCAUGGUUGUGAAGGUGGUUUUCUCAGGACGAAGCUUAUCCGUUGUGUUUCAGAUGUCCUGACUCCUGAAAGGGGGGACAGUUGACUGCAUAAUUUGUGGUAAUGAGGAACUAGGUUCACACUCUCCCCU
rnacentral:snRNA from 1 species